rnacentral:tmRNA from 1 species
GGGGAUGUCUGGUUCGAUAGGGUUCGUCCAGAUUGGUGCGCAUGUAGAGGGCGCUUGCACCCUCUUAAAUCAACGAGCAACAAGAAGUGCAAACUUCACAUCUGCUCUGAAGGAAAAAGCACAGGCAUUCGUGUCUGGACUUAGCCUUCAGCCAGCAGCUGCUCUCGCGUAACGCUUGAGCCAUCCUGCUUCCUGCCGCAAGGAAGAACAACAGGGUGUUAACCCCCCGCGGCUUGAUACAUCAUCGACCCCUUGGCGAAGAUGUAUGACCUAUUCCAAGGGAUGACGCUGCGUAUUUGCACCCUUACUAGCGCUGCGUCGAGAACCCUAAGGGUGCAAUACAUGUACUACGUAUCGGUCUUAUCGGCUCUACACGUGGGUUCGACUCCCACCAUCUCCACCA